CGGUGUAGCUCAGGGGUUAGAGCACCUACGUCGGUUCCGCCGAAUUCGAUCUCUGGACACCCAAAGCUUUACGCACCUCCCGGUGCGACACGAUCUCGGGAGGCGCGGCAGAUGGUGGGUGCCCGGUGCGCAGGCAGCGGAUACUUCUGGAACUGGUGGGGAGAAAUCCCCGUGCGGGUUCGAAUCCCGUCAUCGACCA
rnacentral:tRNA from 1 species